AUUGAACGCUGGCGGCAGGCCUAACACAUGCAAGUCGAACGAGUGGCGGACGGGUGAGUAAUGUCUGGGAAACUGCCUGAUGGAGGGGGAUAACUACUGGAAACGGUAGCUAAUACCGCAUACCUUCCGAUGUGCCAAGAUGGGAUUAGCUAGUAGGUGGGGUAAAGGCUCACCUAGGCGACGAUCCCUAGCUGGUCUGAGAGGAUGACCGGCCACACGGGAACUGAGACACGGUCCAGACUCCUACGGGAGGAAGCAGUGGGGAAUAUUGCACAAUGGGCGCAAGCCUGAUGCAGCCAUGCCGCGUGUAUGAAGAAGGCCUUCGGGUGGUAAAGUACUUUCAGCAGGGAGGCGGUACCCGCAGAAGAAGCACCGGCUAACUCCGUGCCAGCAGCCGCGGUAAUUC
rnacentral:rRNA from 1 species